GACAGAGGGUGCAAACGUUGCUCGGAAUUACUGGGCGUAAAGCGCGUGUAGGCUGACCGGAAAGUCGGGCGUGAAAUCCCUGAGCUCAACUCAGGAACUGCACCCGAAACUCUCGGUCUAGAGUGGUGGAGAGGGAAGUGGAAUUCCUGGUGUAGAGGUGAAAUUCGUAGAUAUCAGGAGGAACACCAGUGGCGAAGGCGGCUUCCUGGACACCAACUGACGCUGAGACGCGAAAGCGUGGGGAGCAAACAGG
rnacentral:rRNA from 1 species